UUUUAUAUUGUAUGGUUAUGUACUUUCUUUUUUUAAGCUUUAUGUUAUGAAAAUACUUGAUACUUUUAUAAAAAAAAAGUACACAUCACUGUCUGCAAUAUGUUGCUAUUUUUUUGAAUCGUCGAAUAAAUUUUGGCAUAUUUUUUUAUCGCCCGAGUUCAACGCUCUUGCUGAAAAGUGUCUGCAUCAAGAGAUGUGUGCUUUUUUUUCUGUUCAACUUUAUCGCGGAGGACUGUCCCACAAAGAGGUCACAAAUGUGAUAAAUUUUUCGUCGCUCGGCAACAGUUCCGCCAUAUGCGGAUAUUUUAUGGUUGGGAUUCUUUUGGCAUUUCGUUGCUUUGUUAUUCAACACUGGCUCCCGACUGGAAUAUAGAUGGCCUUUGCCAUUGUAAGAUGCACUUUCGUUCAACCGGUGCAGUUUACACUCAAAAUUUAGCGUUACGAUUUCAUAAAAUAUUAAAGGAAUUAGUUCAUAAAAAAUUGUACCAUUUUAUUUAACGUCAGUCUUGUGGAAGGUUUUAAAAAACAAACCAUUUUUCCAAGUGCCACGUUCCGGUUGAACGCUGCAUUUGGCCAAACAAUGGAAUCCGUUAGAAGAAGCCCGCCUUUCGGCCAGAUGCAGUCGACCAGCAAACAGACAAUGGCCCCGAAGAAAACCAAUUCAAAAUAAUAGUCUAAUAAACUUACUUAGCGUGCGCCCAGCUGA